rnacentral:tRNA from 1 species
GGUGUUGUGGCUCAGUGGUCCAGCGCACGCCUUGCACGUGUGAGGCACUGGGUUCAAUCCUCAGCACUACAU